rnacentral:rRNA from 1 species
UUGAUCAUGGCUCAGAUUGAACGCUGGCGGCAGGCCUAACACAUGCAAGUCGAGCGGUAGCACAGAGAGCUUGCUCUCGGGUGACGAGCGGCGGACGGGUGAGUAAUGUCUGGGAAACUGCCUGAUGGAGGGGGAUAACUACUGGAAACGGUAGCUAAUACCGCAUAAUGUCGCAAGACCAAAGUGGGGGACCUUCGGGCCUCAUGCCAUCAGAUGUGCCCAGAUGGGAUUAGCUAGUAGGUGGGGUAAUGGCUCACCUAGGCGACGAUCCCUAGCUGGUCUGAGAGGAUGACCAGCCACACUGGAACUGAGACACGGUCCAGACUCCUACGGGAGGCAGCAGUGGGGAAUAUUGCACAAUGGGCGCAAGCCUGAUGCAGCCAUGCCGCGUGUGUGAAGAAGGCCUUCGGGUUGUAAAGCACUUUCAGCGGGGAGGAAGGCGAUAAGGUUAAUAACCUUGUCGAUUGACGUUACCCGCAGAAGAAGCACCGGCUAACUCCGUGCCAGCAGCCGCGGUAAUACGGAGGGUGCAAGCGUUAAUCGGAAUUACUGGGCGUAAAGCGCACGCAGGCGGUCUGUCAAGUCGGAUGUGAAAUCCCCGGGCUCAACCUGGGAACUGCAUUCGAAACUGGCAGGCUAGAGUCUUGUAGAGGGGGGUAGAAUUCCAGGUGUAGCGGUGAAAUGCGUAGAGAUCUGG